UCCCUUUUCAAACCGGAGCCGACGUCCUAUAUAGAGAGUGCCGGUUCGCCGGCUAUGGCAAUAAACGGGCGGUGAAAUAAACCCAUUGGACCCGGGGGCGGUACCCGGCGCCUCCACCAAAAACCGAUCGGUCAGACCGGUUUUUGAUGGGGGCGAAAUAGGAUCGACAAGGGCGUAAAGAUCGACUUUUUGCUCGGCAUUGUACCACCGUUAUCGGGCUAUAUUGUAGUUGCAAACGACAACUAUGCUGAAGUUCGUCUCGCUGCUUAAUCGCAGUGCGACUCUUCAAAUCAAGUCCUUGCGGGUAGCACCGUAAGGCGGGGUUCGAAGGCACCUGGCAACAGAAGCCUUCACU
rnacentral:tmRNA from 1 species